rnacentral:rRNA from 1 species
GUUGAUCCCGCCGGACCUGACUGCUAUCGGAUUGAUACUAAGCCAUGCGAGUCAUUGUAGUAAUACAAGGCAGACGGCUCAGUAACGCGUAGUCAACCUACCCUAUGGACGGGAAUAACCUCGGGAAACUGAGUAUAAUGCCCGAUAGAACACUAUACCUGGAAUGGUUUGUGUUCCAAAUGAAUGUCGCCGUAGGAUGGGACUGCGGCCUAUCAGUUUGUUGGUGAGGUAAUGGCCCACCAAGACUAUUACAGGUACGGGCUCUGAGAGGAGUAGCCCGGAGAUGGGUACUGAGACACGGACCCAGGCCCUAUGGGGCGGAGCAGGCGAGAAAACUUUGCAAUGUGCGAAAGCACGACAAGGUUAAUCCGAGUGGUUUGUGCUAAACGAACCUUUUGACAGUCCUAGAAACACUGUUGAAUAAGGGGUGGGCAAGUUCUGGUGUCAGCCGCCGCGGUAAAACCAG